rnacentral:rRNA from 1 species
UGAGGAAUAUUGGGCAAUGCCCGCAAGGGUGACCCAGCAACGCCGCGUGGAGGAUGAAUGUCGUAAGAUUGUAAACUCCUGUUAGAGGGGAAGAAUAGUACCGGUUGGACCGGUAUAUGACUGUACCCUCAGAGAAAGCCCCGGCUAACUACGUGCCAGCAGCCGCGGUAAUACGUAGGGGGCAAGCGUUGUCCGGAUUUACUGGGUGUAAAGGGCGCGCAGGCGGGAUAAAAAGUCAGUGGUGAAAUCCUACAGCUUAACUGUAGAACUGCCUUUGAUACUUUUAUUCUUGAGUUCGGGAGAGAGAGACGGAAUUCCAGGUGUAGUGGUGAAAUACGUAGAUACCUGGAAGAACACCAGUUGCGAAGGCGGUCUCUUGGUCCGACACUGACGCUGAGGCGCGAAAGCGUGGGGAGCAAACA